rnacentral:rRNA from 1 species
GAUCCUGGCUCAGGACGAACGCUGGCGGCGCGCCUAACACAUGCAAGUCGAACGGAGAUUACAGGCGGAAGUUUUCGGAUGGAAGCCUGUAAACUUAGUGGUGGACGGGUGAGUAACACGUGAGCAACCUGCCUAUCAGAGGGGGGAUAACGAUUGGAAACGAUCGCUAAUACCGCAUGACAUAGCGGAACCGCAUGGUUCUGUUAUCAAAGAUUUUAUCGCUGAUAGAUGGGCUCGCG